rnacentral:tRNA from 1 species
GCCGGGGUGGCAGAGCGGUUAAUGCGCUGGUCUCGAAAACCAGUCCCGUGAGGGUCGUGAGUUCGAGUCUCACCCCCGGCG